rnacentral:rRNA from 1 species
UACGUAGGGUGCAGGCGUUAAUCGGAAUUACUGGGCGUAAAGCGUGCGCAGGCGGUCUUUUAAGUCAGAUGUGAAAUCCCCGGGCUUAACCUGGGAACUGCGUUUGAAACUGGAAGGCUUGAGUGUGGCAGAGGGGGGUGGAAUUCCACGUGUAGCAGUGAAAUGCGUAGAGAUGUGGAGGAACACCGAUGGCGAAGGCAGCCCCUUGGGCUAACACUGACGCUCAUGCACGAAAGCGUGGGGAGCAUACAGG